rnacentral:rRNA from 1 species
GGUGAACGCUAGCUACAGGCUUAACACAUGCAAGUCGAGGGGCAGCGCAGUGUAGCAAUACAUGGGCGGCGACCGGCGCACGGGUGCGUAACGCGUAUCCAACCUUCCCGUUACUCAGGGAUAGCCUUCCGAAAGGGAGAUUAAUACCUGAUGGUGUUCAAAUUCCGCAUGUUAUUUGAACUAACGAUUUAUCGGUAACGGAUGGGGAUGCGUGACAUUAGGUAGAUGGCGGGGUAACGGCCCACCAUGCCUACGAUGUCUAGGGGUUCUGAGAGGAAGUCCCCCCACACUGGAGCUGAGACACGGUCCAGACUCCUACGGGAGGCAGCAGUGAGGAAUAUUGGUCAAUGGUCGGAAGACUGAACCAGACAAGUGGCGUGAAGGAUGAAGGGUCUAUGGAUUGUAAACUUCUUUUAUACGGGAAUAAAACCACCUACGUGUAGGUGCUUGUAUGUACCGUAUGAAUAAGCAUCGGCUAACUCCGUGCCAGCCGCCGCAGUAAGAC